rnacentral:rRNA from 1 species
CCUACGGGGGGCAGCAGUGAGGAAUAUUGGUCAAUGGGCGGGAGCCUGAACCAGCCAAGUCGCGUGAGGGACGACGGUCCUAGGGAUUGUAAACCUCUUUUGUCGGGGAACAAAGGCGCCCACGGGUGGGCGGAUGAGUGUACCCGCAGAAAAAGCAUCGGCUAACUCCGUGCCAACAGCCGCGGUAAUACGGAGGAGGCGAGCGUUAUCCGGAUUUAUUGGGGUUAAAGGGUGCGUAGGCGGACAGUCAAGUCAGCGGUAAAAAUGCGGUGCUAAACGCCGUACAGCCGUUGAAACUGGCAGUCUUGAGUGGGCGAGAGGUGUGCAGAAUGCGUGGUGUAGCGGUGAAAUGCAUAGAUAGCACGCAGAAGACCGAUUGCGAAGGCAGCAUACCGGAGCAAUACUGACGCUGAGGCACGAAAGCGUGGGUAUCGAACAGGAUUAGAGACACUAGUAGUC